UACGAAGGAUGCAAGCGUUAUCCGGAUUCAUUGGGUUUAAAGGGAGCGUAGGUGGCCUUAUAAGUCAGUGGUGAAAUCUCUGGGCUUAACCCAGAAAUUGCCAUUGAUACUGUAGGGCUUGAGUAUAGUUGCCGUUGGCGGAAUAUGACAUGUAGUGGUGAAAUACAUAGAGAUGUCAUAGAACACCGAUUGCGAAGGCAGCUGACGAAACUAUAACUGACACUGAGCUCGAAAGUGCGGGGAUCAAACAGG
rnacentral:rRNA from 1 species